rnacentral:rRNA from 1 species
ACCUGAGGAAUAAGCACCGGCUAACUCCGUGCCAGCAGCCGCGGUAAUACGGAGGGUGCGAGCGUUGUCCGGAAUCACUGGGCGUAAAGGGCGCGUAGGCGGCCUGAUAAGUAGGGGGUGAAAUCCUGCGGCUUAACCGCAGGGCUGCCUUCUAAACUGUCAGGCUCGAGCACAGUAGAGGCAGGUGGAAUUCCCGGUGUAGCGGUGGAAUGCGUAGAGAUCGGGAAGAACAUCAGUGGCGAAGGCGGCCUGCUGGGCUGUUGCUGACGCUGAGGCGCGACAGCGUGGGGAGCAAACAGGAUUAGAUACCC